GAUGAACGCUGGCGGCGUGCCUAAUACAUGCAAGUCGAGCGAACAGACGAGGAGCUUGCUCCUCUGACGUUAGCGGCGGACGGGUGAGUAACACGUGGAUAACCUACCUAUAAGACUGGGAUAACUUCGGGAAACCGGAGCUAAUACCGGAUAAUAUAUUGAACCGCAUUGUGCAAUAGUGAAAGACGGUUUUGCUGUCACUUAUAGAUCGAUCCGCGCCGCAUUAGCUAGUUGGUAAGGUAACGGCUUACCAAGGCAACGAUGCGUAGCCGACCUGAGAGGGUGAUCGGCCACACUGGAACUGAGACACGGUCCAGACUCCUACGGGAGGCAGCAGUAGGGAAUCUUCCGCAAUGGGCGAAAGCUUGACGGAGCAACGCCGCGUGAGUGAUGAAGGUCUUCGGAUCGUAAAACUCUGUUAUUAGGGAAGAACAAAUGUGUAAGUAACUAUGCACGUCUUGACGGUACCUAAUCAGAAAGCCACGGCUAACUACGUG
rnacentral:rRNA from 1 species